UACGGAGGGUGCGAGCGUUGCCCGGAAUCACUGGGCGUAAAGGGCGCGUAGGCGGCCUGAUAAGUAGGGGGUGAAAUCCUGCGGCUUAACCGCAGGGCUGCCUUCUAAACUGUCGGGCUAGAGCACGGUAGAGGCAGAUGGAAUUCCCGGUGUAGCGGUGGAAUGCGUAGAGAUCGGGAAGAACAUCAGUGGCGAAGGCGGUCUGCUGGGCCGUUGCUGACGCUGAGGCGCGACAGCGUGCGGAGCAAACAGG
rnacentral:rRNA from 1 species